AGAGUUUGAUCCUGGCUCAGAUUGAACGCUGGCGGCAGGCCUAACACAUGCAAGUCGAGCGAGAAAGCACUUCGGUGUGAGUACAGCGGCGGACGGGUGAGUAACGCGUAGGAAUCUACCCAGUAGUGGGGGACAACAGUUGGAAACAGCUGCUAAUACCGCAUACGCCCUACGGGGGAAAGCGGGGGAUCUUCGGACCUCGCGCUAUUGGAUGAGCCUGCGUCGGAUUAGCUUGUUGGUGGGGUAAAAGCCUACCAAGGCGACGAUCCGUAGCUGGUCUGAGAGGAUGAUCAGCCACACUGGGACUGAGACACGGCCCAGACUCCUACGGGAGGCAGCAGUGGGGAAUAUUGCGCAAUGGGGGCAACCCUGACGCAGCCAUGCCGCGUGUGUGAAGAAGGCCUUAGGGUUGUAAAGCACUUUCAAAAGCGAGGAAAAGCUCAUGCUUAAUACGUAUGAGCCCUGACGUUAACUUUAGAAGAAGCACCGGCUAACUCCGUGCCAGCAGCCGCCGCGGUAAUUC
rnacentral:rRNA from 1 species